rnacentral:rRNA from 1 species
AUUGAACGCUGGCGGCAGGCUUAACACAUGCAAGUCGAACGGUAACAGGAAGAAAGCUUGCUUUCUUUGCUGACGAGUGGCGGACGGGUGAGUAAUGCUUGGGAAUCUGUUUCAUGGAGGGGGAUAACUACGGGAAACUGUAGCUAAUACCGCGUAAUAUCGAGAGAUUAAAUGUGUGGGACCGUAAGGCCACAUGCCAUGAAGUGAGCCCAAGUGGGAUUAGAUAGUUGGUGAGGUAAUGGCUCACCAAGUCAGCGAUCUCUAGCUGGUCUGAGAGGAUGACCAGCCACACUGGGACUGAGACACGGCCCAGACUCCUACGGGAGGCAGCAGUGGGGAAUAUUGCACAAUGGGCGCAAGCCUGAUGCGGCCAUGCCGCGUGAAUGAAGAAGGCCUUCGGGUUGUAGAGUUCUUUCGGUGGUGAGGAAGGUUGGCGUGUUAAUAGCACGUUGAUUUGACGUUAGCCACAGAAGAAGCACCGGCUAACUCCGUGCCAGCAGCCGCGGUAAUACGGAGGGUGCGAGCGUUAAUCGGAAUAACUGGGCGUAAAGGGCACGCAGGCGGUGACUUAAGUGAGGUGUGAAAGCCCUGGGCUUAACCUAGGAAUUGCAUUUCAUACUGGGUCGCUAGAGUAUUUUAGGGAGGGGUAGAAUUCCACGUGUAGCGGUGAAAUGCGUAGAGAUGUGGAGGAAUACCGAAGGCGAAGGCAGCCCCUUGGGAAUAUACUGACGCUCAUGUGCGAAAGCGUGGGGAGCAAACAGG